rnacentral:tRNA from 1 species
CCGGGCUUGGCUCAGUUGGUAGAGCGCUUGACUGUUAAACAAGAUGGCGUCCGUACGAGUCUGACAGCCGGAGCUA